rnacentral:lncRNA from 1 species
CUCAAGAUCAUAAAAUCAUUGAGGAAUCCCAUCACUUGCAACAUAUGGGACAAAUAAUAUACGUCAAUUCCUUUCGGGUCAUCGAGGCAUCAUAAUAGUUUCAAAAUUUAGGCUCAUAUAUCAUAUAUGAGUGACAAUUCAUAGUCUAGAAUUGCACUCAAGAUCAUAAAAUCACAUACGCAUCUCAGAACUUGCAACAUAUGGAACAAAUAAUAUCCGUCAAUUCAUUUCGGGUCAUCAAGGCAUCAUAAUAGUUUCAAAAUUUGGGCUCAUAUCUCAUAUAUGAGCAACAAUUCAUAGUCUAGAAUUUCACUCAAGAUCAUAAAAUCACAUAGGCAUCUCAAAACUUGCAACAUAUGGGACACUAAUAACCGUCAAUUCCUUUCGGGUCAUCAAGGCAUCAUAACAGUUUCAAAAUUUAGGCUCAUAUAUAUAUAUAUAUAUAUAUAUAUAUAUAUAUAUAUAUAUAUAUAUAUAUAUAUAUAUAGGGCAUAUCAAGUAAGAGGACCUUUUAAAAUGAGAGAUGAGAGGGUGAAAUCACAACCCUUAGAUCAAUCUUUAUUGUGUUACUUAAAUUUUAAAACUGCUUCUUCUCUCGCCGUCUAUUCAUCUCCCUGUGAUAUUUCAGUUUCUUUUUUUUCUUUCAAAUGUUAUUAUUCAAGAUCCAAUGGAAGGCAAUUUUGAUGUAUCAUGGCUAACUUAAUCAAAAAAACAAUCACACCUUAUGAAUCACACCAAAGAGAAGUUUGGAAAAUAUGAAUUGUUAUGAAUCAUAGAAGCCGUAAAAAAAACUAAAACAUCAAAUCCAAAUUUGGGAUAUGGGUUAUCAUUAAAUCAAACCUUGUAAAAGAGCUGUAAUGAUGAUUCGGUAAUCCACUUUCAGUUUAUAGAAUAGAAAAAGAAAGAAGAACAAAAACUAAUCUUUUUUAAAUCUUCAUGGAUUUCAUUUCUGCUGCACUUUCUUCAUGUUCCUGUCACUAAUUAAAAGAAUGCAUAAUUUUAUUCAUUGAAUUUCAUAGUUUAUCCCAAAUUCAUUUAUUAGUAGUAGUUUGAUGGUUUGAUACAAAAUAGUUUUCUUCUGGAAAUCACGUUCGUACUCAUAGCUAAAAAAAGAAGAGAAAUAGAGUUGAUGAAACAGGAUAAUUUGGGCUGGAAUUGGAGAAGACAAUUUGGAAAAGAAAAAAACAUAAAUCUAAGAGAAGAAAGGAAGAGGGAUGAAAGCGCUUACCCACUUAACUACAAGAGAAGACAAUCACACGUGUGUGCAGCAGUGCAGGUAUCACAAAUAAAUAUCAGCCAUUUGAUUUGAUCUAAGGGUUGCGAUUUAACCCUCUCACUCUCAUUUUAAAUAGUGGUCUCAUUUGAUACACCCUAUAUAUAUAUAUGACAAUUCAUAGUAUAAAAUUGCACUCAAGAUCAUAAAAUCACCAUGGCAUCCCAACAAUUGCAACAUAAGGGACAAAUAAUAUCCGUCAAUUCCUUUCGGAUCAUCGAGACAUUAUAAUAGUAUCAAAAUUUAGGCUCAUAUGUCAUAUAUGAGUGACAAUCCACAGUAUAAAAUUGCAUUCAAGAUCAUACAAUCAUUGAGGCAUCCCAACACUUGCAACAUAUGAGACAAAUAAUAUCCGUCAAUUCCUUUCAGGUCAUCGAGACAUCAUAAUAGUUUCAAAAUUUACGCUCAUAUAUCAUAUAUGAGUCACAAUUCAUAUUAUAGAAUUGCAUUCAAGAUCAUAAAAUAACCGAGGCAUCCCAACACUUUCAACGUAUAGGACAAAUAAUAUCCGUCAAUUCCUUUCGGGUCAUCCAGCAAUCAUAAUAGUUUCAAAAUCACCCAGGCAUCAUAAUAGUUUUAAAAUUUAGGCUCAAAUAUCAUAUAUGAGACACAAUUCAUAGAAUAGAAUUGCACUCAAGAUCAUAAAAUCAUUAAGGCAUCCCAACACUUCCAACAAAUAAUAUCCGUCAAUUCCUUUCGGGUCAUCGAGGCAUCAUAAUAGUUUCAAAAUUUAGACUCAUAUCAUAUCUGAGUGACAAUUCAUAGUAUAGAAUUGCACUCAAGAUCAAAAAAUCAUUGAGGCAUCCAACACUUGCAACAUAUCGAACAAAUAAUAUCCGUCAAUUCCUUUCGGGUCAUCCAGCAAUCAUAAUAGUUUCAAAAUCACCCAGGCAUCAUAAUAGUUUCAAAAUUUAGGCUUAUAUAUCAUACAUGAGUGACAAUUCAUAGUAUAGAAUUGCAUUCAAGAUCAUAAAAUCAUUGAGGCAUCCCAACACUUGCAACAUAUGGGACAAAUAAUAUCCGUGAAUUCCUUUCGGGUCAUCGAGGCAU